GUUAUAUGGUCAAGUGAAGAAGCGCAUACGGUGGAUGCCUUGGCAGUCAGAGGCGAUGAAAGACGUGGUAGCCUGCGAAAAGCUUCGGGGAGUCGGCAAACAGACUUUGAUCCGGAGAUGUCUGAAUGGGGGAACCCAGCCAUCAUAAGAUGGUUAUCUUGUACUGAAUACAUAGGUGCAAGAGGCGAACCAGGGGAACUGAAACAUCUAAGUACCCUGAGGAAAAGAAAUCAACCGAGAUUCCCUUAGUAGUGGCGAGCGAACGGGGACUAGCCCUUAAGUGGCUUUGAGAUUAGCGGAACGCUCUGGAAAGUGCGGCCAUAGUGGGUGAUAGCCCUGUACGCGAAAGUCUCUUAGUCAUGAAAUCGAGUAGGACGGAGCACGAGAAACUUUGUCUGAAUAUGGGGGGACCAUCCUCCAAGGCUAAAUACUACUGACUGACCGAUAGUGAACUAGUACCGUGAGGGAAAGGCGAAAAGAACCCCGGAGAGGGGAGUGAAAUAGAUCCUGAAACCGUAUGCGUACAAGCAGUGGGAGCAGACUUUGUUCUGUGACUGCGUACCUUUUGUAUAAUGGGUCAGCGACUUAUUUUCAGUGGCGAGCUUAACCGAAUAGGGGAGGCGUAGCGAAAGCGAGUCUUAAUAGGGCGUCUAGUCGCUGGGAAUAGACCCGAAACCGGGCGAUCUAUCCAUGGGCAGGUUGAAGGUUAGGUAACACUGACUGGAGGACCGAACCGACUACCGUUGAAAAGUUAGCGGAUGACCUGUGGAUCGGAGUGAAAGGCUAAUCAAGCUCGGAGAUAGCUGGUUCUCCUCGAAAGCUAUUUAGGUAGCGCCUCAUGUAUCACUGUAGGGGGUAGAGCACUGUUUCGGCUAGGGGGUCAUCCCGACUUACCAAACCGAUGCAAACUCCGAAUACCUACAAGUGCCGAGCAUGGGAGACACACGGCGGGUGCUAACGUCCGUCGUGAAAAGGGAAACAACCCAGACCGUCAGCUAAGGUCCCAAAGUUAUGGUUAAGUGGGAAACGAUGUGGGAAGGCUUAGACAGCUAGGAGGUUGGCUUAGAAGCAGCCACCCUUUAAAGAAAGCGUAAUAGCUCACUAGUCGAGUCGGCCUGCGCGGAAGAUGUAACGGGGCUCAAACCAUACACCGAAGCUACGGGUAUCACGUAAGUGAUGCGGUAGAGGAGCGUUCUGUAAGCCUGUGAAGGUGAGUUGAGAAGCUUGCUGGAGGUAUCAGAAGUGCGAAUGCUGACAUGAGUAACGACAAUGGGUGUGAAAAACACCCACGCCGAAAGACCAAGGUUUCCUGCGCAACGUUAAUCGACGCAGGGUUAGUCGGUCCCUAAGGCGAGGCUGAAAAGCGUAGUCGAUGGAAAACAGGUUAAUAUUCCUGUACUUCUGGUUAUUGCGAUGGAGGGACGGAGAAGGCUAGGCCAGCUUGGCGUUGGUUGUCCAAGUUUAAGGUGGUAGGCUGGAAUCUUAGGUAAAUCCGGGAUUCUAAGGCCGAGAGCUGAUGACGAGUUGCCUUUAGGCGACGAAGUGGUUGAUGCCAUGCUUCCAAGAAAAGCUUCUAAGCUUCAGAUAACCAGGAACCGUACCCCAAACCGACACAGGUGGUUGGGUAGAGAAUACCAAGGCGCUUGAGAGAACUCGGGUGAAGGAACUAGGCAAAAUGGCACCGUAACUUCGGGAGAAGGUGCGCCGGUGAGGGUGAAGCACUUGCUGCGUAAGCCCACGCCGGUCGAAGAUACCAGGCCGCUGCGACUGUUUAUUAAAAACACAGCACUCUGCAAACACGAAAGUGGACGUAUAGGGUGUGACGCCUGCCCGGUGCCGGAAGGUUAAUUGAUGGGGUUAGCUAACGCGAAGCUCUUGAUCGAAGCCCCGGUAAACGGCGGCCGUAACUAUAACGGUCCUAAGGUAGCGAAAUUCCUUGUCGGGUAAGUUCCGACCUGCACGAAUGGCGUAACGAUGGCGGCGCUGUCUCCACCCGAGACUCAGUGAAAUUGAAAUCGCUGUGAAGAUGCAGUGUAUCCGCGGCUAGACGGAAAGACCCCGUGAACCUUUACUAUAGCUUUGCACUGGACUUUGAAUUUGCUUGUGUAGGAUAGGUGGGAGGCUUUGAAGCGUGGACGCCAGUUCGCGUGGAGCCAUCCUUGAAAUACCACCCUGGCAACUUUGAGGUUCUAACUCAGGUCCGUUAUCCGGAUCGAGGACAGUGUAUGGUGGGUAGUUUGACUGGGGCGGUCUCCUCCUAAAGAGUAACGGAGGAGUACGAAGGUGCGCUCAGACCGGUCGGAAAUCGGUCGUAGAGUAUAAAGGCAAAAGCGCGCUUGACUGCGAGACAGACACGUCGAGCAGGUACGAAAGUAGGUCUUAGUGAUCCGGUGGUUCUGUAUGGAAGGGCCAUCGCUCAACGGAUAAAAGGUACUCCGGGGAUAACAGGCUGAUACCGCCCAAGAGUUCAUAUCGACGGCGGUGUUUGGCACCUCGAUGUCGGCUCAUCACAUCCUGGGGCUGAAGCCGGUCCCAAGGGUAUGGCUGUUCGCCAUUUAAAGUGGUACGCGAGCUGGGUUUAGAACGUCGUGAGACAGUUCGGUCCCUAUCUGCCGUGGACGUUUGAGAUUUGAGAGGGGCUGCUCCUAGUACGAGAGGACCGGAGUGGACGAACCUCUGGUGUUCCGGUUGUCACGCCAGUGGCAUUGCCGGGUAGCUAUGUUCGGGAAAGAUAACCGCUGAAAGCAUCUAAGCGGGAAACUUGCCUCAAGAUGAGAUCUCACUGGAACCUUGAGUUCCCUGAAGGGCCGUCGAAGACUACGACGUUGAUAGGUUGGGUGUGUAAGCGCUGUGAGGCGUUGAGCUAACCAAUACUAAUUGCCCGUGAGGCUUGACCAUAUAACACCCAAGCA
rnacentral:rRNA from 2 species